UUGGUGCCCACUCAAAGUUACCAAGUUCUGGGGGAAGUUGGGUCAAGCUGAGUUUUCAUCAUGGGACCACAGUUAUUAGCACAGCAGAAACAUUAUAUGAAAGUAUUGAAACAGUUACUUAAGGCUAGCGGAGCCUCAGUUUCACAGGCUCAAUUAAGGGACCUAAUCAUCCAUGCUAGACAAACUGUUGCAAUGCAAACUGUUGUGAUCCCAAGCCCAUGGUUCCCGGAAGAAGGAACGCUAGACGUAGAACUCUGGGAACAAAUGGGGAGAAAUCUUAACAUGUGCAAAGGCAACAGGUCCCAGUAACAGCUUUAACGUUAUAGGCUUUAAUUAGAGCAGCCUUAGCUCUGUUACACGCAGAAGAGCCUAAAAAGAGCAAGGAGGAGAAAACGUCACCUGCCUUAUCACCUCCUCUUCCCUCCACCCUAAUAUCACCGGGCCGAAAUAACAGAGGAAACGGGGGUUUAUACCUGAGCCUCCUCCUCCAAUAGAUAGGAAAAAAGACCUAGGAUAUGCUACAGCUAUCAGUCCCUGUCUUAAGCGGGCAGCAUUAGAAGCAGAGCUCUUACUCUGCCCAGUAAUGCAGAAUCGGCAAGGCCAUCAGGUGUAUGUUUAUAAAAAGAUAAGAAAAAAGGCAUUAGGAGCCGAAAGCCGUGCAGCCGAGCAAGUAGUAAAUAAAAAGAAAGGCUCGGCAGCCCGGAAGUUCACAGAAACAGAGCCCGCACAGGCAAAAGGCAGCGCUUUUACAAGUGUAAAACGGCUACCGCCCAGGGACCCGCCGGCUCAGCUCUCUAGCUCUGCAGGUGACCCAAGGCAAGUGCUCCUUGUUUACAAGCGACAUCCCAGAUUAUAAUUCUCUGCUAAAAUUUAAGUAAAAUGUAAGAAUUUGAAAAACCUCUUUUCUGAUAAUGGCCACUGUUGCUCUCUCUCUCCUACCCCUGACGUAGCUCUCCAAAUCCAAUUUAGGUAAAACAGUAACCUCUGAAGGGAGAGAGAUUACAGAAGGCCGAUGAAUUAAAGAGUAGUUAAAAGCUAGGCAUGUAAAACCACACAUUACCCUUUAAAGGAGAACUUUAAACCUAACUAAAUCAUAUUUGUUAAAUUAGAAGAAAAGUUGUAUGUAAGUGUAGUGAAAGCAUAUGCAUGAAUGACUGUCGUAACCCACUGAUUAGAUAGUCUUUGAUUUAUACUUGCUAAAAGAGUCCUGAAUUCAGUUCCCCAACUACUGGGUCACUGUUUUCAAGACUGUUGGCCAGAUUAAAGUCCAUAAACUUGAUCAGCCUGAAAACUCAAUUGCAAGAUUUAAGCUGUUUGUUCUGCCUGUGGCUUUAAGCACAUGGUUAAAGUAUAUUAUUUAAGUUUCUGCUUCUAGAGAUGCUUUCAGAUUUUCUUUUUAAAUUUCAUGUUACUUAUUUCAACUUGCCAUCUUAAUGAUUAAUGCAGUCAAUUGCUAAGUUAUAACCCUGAUAUCAUCAGGAUUCCUUUAAGUAAAAGGUAAUUCGAAGCGGUACUGCACUUCCCCAUACCUAAUGCUUUAACACUGUUUACUGAUGGGUCUGGUAAACAUGGAAAAGCGGCAGUCUAGUAGAGACCACACAAUUCCAUCACUCAGAGUUUACUAGCACUCAGAGAGCUGAGGUUACUCUGUUUAUUUAUUAAAGAACUUUUACAGCAUGAAGUUAGCUCUGGAGACCACUCUGUGUGCUCUUUUUCUCCGACUUCAGCAAUUGCUAGACCAACGUACACGUCCUGUUUUUAUUACACACAUUCGAGCCCACAGCUCUCUGCCUGGCCCAUUGGCUUAUGGCAAUGAUCAAGCAGAUCUUCAGGUUGUAACAUCACUGCUAGACCAAGCCACCCAAUUGCAUCAAUUUUUCUACUAAAAUUAGAGAAACUCAUCUUAAACAACUUCAACUUACACAGAGACUGGCUAAACAAAUUAUCUGAUGGUGCCCAGAUUGCCAGCUCACAGGCACAGCCCCUCUUUCAACAGGUGUUAACCCUAGAGGAUUGGAACCUAAUCAGUUGUGGCAAACAGAUGUUACAUCCCUAAAUUUGGGAAACUAAGAUAUAUACAUGUAUCCGUUAAUACCAACACUCACCUAAUUAGUGCACAUUAAAAAGAGAAAUAAAGGGAAAGAAUGAGUAAGAAAGAGACUAGAAAAGACAGAUCAGAGACAGACACAAAAAGACUAAGGAGAGAAAGUAGGAAGAAAGGAAAGAAAUAUUAAAGUUACAGAUAUAAGAAUGCACCUUUAGUAAGGAAGGUUAUAAAACAUAGUCAGAAAGUUAAGGCAUGUUAAAGAUUGUCUGUGAAAGUUGUGAAGAAUGUUAUGAAAAGGAAUUUAUGCAGGAAAUAUAUAAUUUUUGUUUUGAAGGUCUAAACAAGUUUUAAAACGUUAAUUGUAAAAAAAAUUCUGUGUGUAAACAUAUUGGCUAAAAUAAAAAAGGUAUCACCCAGUUUUUCUGUAAACUAGACAUUAAAGUACAACAAGUUUUUCUUAAAACACUAACCUGCUCUUUAAAGACUGUAAAAAGUCUCUCAGCACAGGCACCACCCCUAGAAUUUCCAGUACACCAGCACCAGCCUGGAGACUACAUUCUUAUCAAAGGAUGGAAAGAAGAAAAAUCUCAAGCCAGCCUGAGAAAAGCCCUACAGGACUCGCAGCCUCAACAAUGUGGCUUCCGAAGACAACACAGGUCCCAGGCAUUAUGCUAAAGAAGGAAAAGGCUAAGCCAGAUAAUUUAUUCAUUUUAAAUUCUCUCACUUUACCUACUACCUAUACCUGCUACACUCUAUUAAGCUCAUCUCUUAAAUCUGCCUUUUUUCAGUCCUGUCAUCUAGGCAGACACUCCCUUUCCAGCUUCUAACAAUAUCUAUGUGUCAAUGUAUGUUUUAUUCUUCUGUCGUUUGGGUCAGGGUCUGAGGGCAGACCCCUGCAGCUAAUGCCCUCAAGUGUGAGGAGCAAUACCUCAGAAAACUAUCCCAAAACCUACUUUACUCCACCUGUUGCUACUUUUCUGAGGAAAAAGUACUGAGUAAUUAUGAUGAACUGUCACUUAAAAAGUCAAGUUUGGUUGAAUUAUAUACAUCUACUUUAGCAUUAUGCUUAUGAAUAUUAACAUCUGAAGCAAAAUGCAUAUAUGUUGUUAAUUAUAAUUAUAAACAUAAAGCAUUGUGAUGUAAAUCUACACUUACAGGAAAUGAUCAUUACAAAGCAAAAAGGCAGGAACCGAAAACCAUGGGACUGAUAGCAAAACAUCCUUUCUGAAAAUUAGGGGAAUUCUAACUAUUUAUGUACAGUUAACAUUGCACGCAGCCAGACUUCUUUGUAGGAUACUAAUUUAGAGUAAUCACUAAACCCUAUUAAUGUGCUAAUUUUAUUAAAACAAAUUUUCAGUAAUCCUUAAUAACUCACAGACAAUUAGGUUUGGGAGACAACUAGUUUGGGAGGAGGAAGUCAGAGCCAACUAAGAAUUCCUGAAAAAAUAACAAGAGCAACUCUGUAUUUAUAAUUUAAAAUUCUUUGUGAAAUUUCCACUGCCUAUUUUCUUGAAAUUAUGUUUUACAUAUCCGUGUUUCUCCUUACCAGUCUCUCUCGUUCAAUCAUGGAAUUUGAGUGUCUGUUCAUUUAUUUAUUUUUUUUUUACUUUUCAUUGGUGUAUUAUAUUUACUAAGUUAACACAUUUUAAAUGUACAGUUGAAAGAAUUUUUACAUACUCCCCGUGUAACUCCUGUGUUAACCAUCUAUAAGAGAAACACAGAUGUGUAAAACGUAAUAUCAACAUACAGGAUAUAUCCAGUAACCCAAAGUCUCCCUAUGCCUCCUUCCAAUCAACAUUUCUUCAAAGGUAGGCAGUAUUUUUUUUUUUUUUUUUUUUUUUUUUUUUGAGAUGGAGUCUCGCUCUGUGGCCCAGGCUGGAGUGCAGUGGUGCUAUCUCGGCUCACUGCAAGCUCCACCUCCCGGGUUCACGCCAUUCUCCUGCCUCAGCCUCCCGAGUAGCUGGGACUACAGGCGCCCGGUAGGCAGUAUUUUUAUCUCUGUCACCAUUAGUUUUUUCCUGUUCUGGGUGUCAUAAUGAUGGAAUCAGAGAGUAUGUUUUCUUCAUGUCAGCUCGUCUCACUCAACAUUAUGUCUUUGAAAUUCCUCCAUGUGUUGCCACUUUGUAGCAGUGGCUUAUUUUUUUCUGUGUAGUAUUACUUUGUAUGAAUAUGCCAGAAUUUAUCGAUUCAACUACUGAUGGAUUUUUUUCAUUCUUUUGGUAAAUAUGAAUAGUUACUAUGGAUAUUCUUAUAGGUGUUUUUGGUAGACAUAUGCACUCAUGUCUCUUGACUAUAGUCCAAGCAAUGGAAUUGUUGGGUCAUAGGAUAGGUGUUUGUUUAGCUGCAGUAAAUUCUGCUAGUUUUCCAAAGUAAUUGGGCGUAUUUAGACUCCUACCAGCAAUGAUGAAAGUUCUGUUUCUCCACACCUUUAGUAUUGCCCGUACUUUUAAUUGUAGUCUAUCUGGUGUGUAGGAAGUAGCAUGUUAUUGUUUUUUUUAAACUAGCUCAUUGAGAUAUAUAUAUAAAAUAAACCGCAUAUAUUUAAAGUAUACAAAUAGAUUUUUUUUUUUUUUGAGACGGAGUCUCUGGAGUGCAGUGGCGCUUGGCUCACUGCAAGCUCUGCCUCCCGGGUUUACACCAUCCUCCUGCCUCAGCCUCCUGAGUAGCUGGGACUACAGGUGCCCGCCACCACGCCUGGCUAAUUUUUUGUAUUUUUAAUAGAGAUGGGGUUUCACCGUGUUAGCCAGGAUGGUCUCAAUCUCCUGACCUCGUGAUCUGCCCGCCUCGGCCUCCCAAAGUGCUGGGAUUACAAGCAUGAGCCACCGCGCCCGGCCACAAAUUGAUGUUUUAAAAUAUGUAUACACACCUGAAAUGAUCACCACCAAAACAAUGAACAUACCCAUUAUCUCCAAAAGUUUUCUGUGCCCCUUUGUAAUUCCUCCCUUUCUUUAGCCUCACUCCCCCAUUCCCAAGCAGCCACUGAUAUGCUUUCCGUGAUGAUAGUUUGCAUUUUCUAGUUUUAAAUAAACAGAAUCACAUAGUAUCUACUCUUUGUUGUCUAGCUUAACUCUGCAUAAUUAUUUUAAGAUUCACCCAUGUCAUCGCAUGUAUCAAAAGUCCAUUUUUUUGCUGAGUACUAUUCCAUUGUACAGCUAUACUACAAUUUGUUAUUCCAGUCAUCUGUUGAUGGACAUUUGGUUUGUUUCCAUUUUGGGGCUAUUACAAAUAAAGCUGUUACAAAC
rnacentral:lncRNA from 1 species